rnacentral:rRNA from 1 species
AUACGGAGGAUCCGAGCGUUAUCCGGAUUUAUUGGGUUUAAAGGGAGCGUAGGUGGAUUGUUAAGUCAGUUGUGAAAGUUUGCGGCUCAACCGUAAAAUUGCAGUUGAAACUGGCAGUCUUGAGUACAGUAGAGGUGGGCGGAAUUCGUGGUGUAGCGGUGAAAUGCUUAGAUAUCACGAAGAACUCCGAUUGCGAAGGCAGCUCACUAGACUGUUACUGACACUGAUGCUCGAAAGUGUGGGUAUCAAACAGGAUUAGAUACCCUGGUAGUCCACACAGUAAACGAUGAAUACUCGCUGUUUGCGAUAUACAGUAAGCGGCCAAGCGAAAGCAUUAAGUAUUCCACCUGGGGAGUACGCCGGCAACGGUGAAAAUCAAAUGAAUUGGCGGG